rnacentral:rRNA from 1 species
CCUACGGGAGGCAGCAGUGAGGAAUAUUGGUCAAUGGCCGCAAGGCUGAACCAGCCAAGUAGCGUGAGGGAUGACGGCCCUAUGGAUUGUAAACCUCUUUUGUAAGGGAGUAAAGUGCGCCACGUGUGGCGUUUUGCGAGUACCUGAUGAAAAAGCAUCGGCUAACUCCGUGCCAGCAGCCGCGGUAAUACGGAGGAUGCGAGCGUUAUCCGGAUUUAGUGGGUUUAAAGGGUGCGAAGGCGGAAUGUAAAGUCAGCGGUAAAAUUUCGGGGCUCAACCCCGUCGUGCCGUUGAAACUGGCGUUCUUGAGUGAGGUAGAGGUAUGCGGAAUGCGUGGUGUAGCGGUGAAAUGCUUAGAUAUCACGCAGAACUCCGAUUGCGAAGGCAGCAUACCGGCGCUCAACUGACGCUGAUGCUCGAAAGCGUGGGUAUCGAACAGGAUUAGAUACCCUGGUAGUC